UCUACGGGAGGCAGCAGCAAGGAAUUUUCCCCAAUGGGCGAGAGCCUGAGGGAGCAACGCCGCGUGCGGGACGACGGCCUUCGGGUUGUAAACCGCUUUUGCGGGGGAAGAGACGGACGGUACCCCGCGAAUAAGCCCCGGCUAACUCUGUGCCAGCAGCCGCGGUAAGACAGAGGGGGCAAGCGUUGUCCGGACUGACUGGGCGUAAAGCGCGCGCAGGCGGAGGCGGGCGUCGGUGCGGAAAGGUCGCCGCUUAACGGCGGAGAGCGUACCGAUACGCCGCUUCUGGAGCGCGGGCGAGGGUGGUGGAAUUGCCGGUGUAGUGGUGAAAUGCGCAGAGAUCGGCAGGAACACCCGUGGCGCAAGCGGCCACCUAGCCCGUUGCUGACGCUGAGGCGCGACAGCGUGGGGAGCGAACUGGAUUAGAUACCCAGGUAGUCCACGCCGUAAACGAUGCCGACUCGGUAUCCGGGGUCCGACAAGGACGCUGGGUGCCCCAGCUUACGCGGUAAGUCGGCCGCCUGGGGACUACGAGCGCAAGCUUAAAACUCAAAGGAAUUGACGGA
rnacentral:rRNA from 1 species